GGCUGGUCCAAAGGUCGUGACUUAUCUCAAGUGAUUGUUCCCAGUCUGAUCUAACUCCUCAUUUGACUCCCUCCCCCCAGCCCUUUCUCACUACUGCACCUGAUUAGACUUUA
ensembl:Y_RNA Y_RNA Y RNA